rnacentral:rRNA from 1 species
GAUCCUGGCAAUGAACGUGUGCAAUUUUCUUCUGGUAGGACGUCGUGAUCCGUUGGGUUGUCGGUCUACGGCGAUAAGGUAAAUAGGUCCGCCGGUACGGUGAACUUGUUUUAUCGUUAUUAUCGGCGGAUUUACCCGAUCUGAUCGAAUUGCCCGACGGUAUGCGAAUGGUUAAAGGUCGCUAACGUUUGAGUUUGCGUUAGAGACGUUGGCAAGUGCUAUUAUAUAUUUGGGUCUGUUAAUCGGGGUUUACUCUGAUUACGAUUCAAUAAUGAGUGCUGUUGGCCGCGUUCUUUCUAUUUCUAACGGACCUGCUGUGUUUAUAUAACAGUACCAAUCUACGACGCUACAGCUUUGGGUAAUUUCAGGACCCGUCUUGAAACACGGACCAAGGAGUCUAGCAUGUGCGCAAGUCAUUGAGUUAACGUAUGUGAAACUCAAGGGCGCAAUGAAAGUGAAUAUAAAGAAAAAAGAAGGGACGGUUUCGUGCUUUCUCUUUUUUUUUUUUUGGUGGAGAGAUGAAUAGCGUUGUGUGUUGGUGUGUGUGCUUCUGCACGCUACUCGCUACUCGUUGUUUCGCAUUUCCGGGGCGUUUCGUAUUCUUCUAUAUUAUCUAGUAAUAGAUUUAUAUGGAGAUGAGGCGCACCAUGAGCGUACACGCUGGGACCCGAAAGAUGGUGAACUAUGCCUGGUCAGGACGAAGUCAGGGGAAACCCUGAUGGAUGUCCGUAGCGAUU